CCUCAACAAUUCUAAAAUCAACACAGUAUCAUAACAAAGCAUUUGGUCCUGUUUUGGGCACCUAGUUGGUACCCAGUAAGUGUUCAGAGGUGAAUGAGUGAAUUCAACAGGUGAAGAAGAAGCUGGCCUACAGUGAUGUCCUACUCCAGCUUCACUCCACUGGCCAGACAGAUGGG